GCUAACUUAGAUUGGCUGAAAGUGGUUGCCUGAGUGCUGUGUUAAGAAGGAUUCCGAGGCCAUGUCUGGGCUCAAGGAGAAAAUAUUGCAAUGGAUCAACUGUAGCUGCCAAGAUUUCCUCGGGGAACCUCAACAGCCCUUCCCUUCUGUCAUGAAGAGCAAUCCAGUUCUUUCCCAGCUCCUACCUCCCAGUUCAUCCUGAGACUCCUGGACGAGAGCCGGGCCGAAUGCCGGGGAUAAAGAAACACUGAAGCAUUGCCUGGGCUCCAAAUUCCAGGAAAUAUUCUACAGAGCUACAAAAGGAUGGCGAGGGGAUUCAAGUCGAACUGGAGAGUAACUAUGGAGGCUUGAGGCCCUGCAAGCCACAUGUGAGUGGGGAACGGGGUGUUCCCUACACCAACAAGCAAUUCUCCGACGCCAGCUGGUUGUCCUACAGUUCAACUCAGUUCUGACACUAUCCGCUGGAGACAGCCUCAGAUUCCACAGGUUAAGGGUUCGGUCCCACAGGACUGCCCUCCGCUUCAGAUGCCAAUCGAGGCUGCGCCGUGCUAUGCAGCAGCUCGGGAUGGACUGCUGGAUGACAAGAGCCACAGGGAGAAGGAGAGGUCUUGUGGAGGGGCCUGAGGUGUCAGAUUCUUUCUGGAACCUUCCCAUCCAGCCCAGCCUCAAUCGGAAUGCAGUGGGGUGAAGUACAAUGUGGUCAGCAGCCUCUCAGCUGGUCCCAGUGAUGCCCUUCUCCUGGUAUCCGUGCCUGUGCGCAAUCCCUCUUCUUGAGAAGGGCCGCAGUGACUCAUCAUAAUGAAUACAAUACAGCAGAGGUCGUGGUAUGUCACUUCUGAGGACAGGCUAUGAAAAGACGGUGACUUCCAUCUUGGGUGACCUCCCUCAUUCACUUGCUCUGAGGAAAGCCAGCUGCCCUGUUGUGAGCAGCCCUGUGGAGAGAUCCACAUGGUGUGGAACAGAGGGAAGCCUUUGGCCGAUAGCCAGAAAAGAACUGAGGGCUUCAGUCCGACAGCCCAAAAGGAACGGAAUCUUGUCAAUAACCUCAUGAGUGAUCUUGGAAGCAGAGCCUCCCUCAGUCAAGUCUUCAGGUGAGAUCACCACCCUGGCUGACCCCUUGACAGCAAGCCCCAGGAGAGACCCUGUGCCAGAGAACCCAGUUAGACUGCGCCUGGAUUCCUCACCCACAGAAACAGCAAGACAAUAAAUGUUCAUCGCUUCAGAAAGCUAAAUUUUAGGGGCGAUUUCUUUAUGCAGCAAGUGAUAACUAAUAUCCACAUUGAUUGCUUUUUGAAUGUGAAAUAAAUAUUGCAUUCUUGAAAUAAAC
rnacentral:lncRNA from 1 species